rnacentral:lncRNA from 1 species
UAGAAGAUGCGUUAGAAGAAUGGUGAAUCCUAUGAACAACAAUGGAGACCAACUUUCUAAUAGCGAUGGGACGAGAAUAGUUUCUGCAACUAUAACUGAACACAUUCCUUCGACUGCUAGUGUUACAGUAACCCCAUCAACAACGGUGAUACCGACAACACUACCUGAAGGGAAGGUUUUAUCCCUAAUACCUCAAAGUCACCUAAUGACUCCAAGACCAAUCAUGUCAUCACACUAUAGGCCUUUUGCCACAAACUUUAUAAUGCACAUACCAGGGUGUGAACAAC